GUUUGAAUAAGCUUGGAUAUACUGGUGUCUUUUUUCUCUGUUGCUGUCUUGUUUUUGUCAUGGGACACAGACACCUUACAUCGGAGGCCGGUCUCAGGUUCUGGGGCCCUUCCCAUGGAGAGAGGUCCAUUUGGGUUCAUCGCAGUGACAGUGAGAUGUGCCAAAACGUUGCAGGCCACAACGCUGGAGGAUGCUCCGGUUUCAAGCUGGGAAGUUAGAUCUGACACAGUCCUUCUCAACCCAGCAGCAGCUAGGGUUCAGUAUAUGCCUGGAACAGAUAGUGUCAGGCUUCUCUGGAAAUCGCAUGCAAGAUGCCCUGUAUUGGUCUUGCUUGUGUUUGUCAUUUCUGAGGUACUGUGAUUCUAUGGUGGUUGCCUGAAAAUGAUUUCUGUGUGUGUGACUUGUGUGUCUCUUUGUGUUUGGACUUGGACUAACAACUGAUGACUGUUUUUGAGUUAUGCCCUCUGGAAUAAGCCUAAGAAUCCUGUCAGAUCCCUAUGCUGACCACUUUCUUUCAGAUCCUCGGCUGCCCUGCCUCCCACUCCAACUCCAGGGAGCAGCUAGCAGGUCACAGUGGUCCCACCCAUGGACCUGGAGCCUAGGGAAAAAUGAGAUCGGAAACCCGGAGCAAGAGAGGGGUGGUCCCUGAGAAGUCAGUUGCCCUGGAUGUUGUGGCUGCUGAAGGGGAGAUAGAGGAGGCUGUGGGAGUGACUGGCCAAGAGCGCCGAGGGUUCCCUGGCUGCUUCUCAUUCCCCUGUCCCCUGCAUCCCGUCUCUUGUUAACAGAAAAAGUGCUUUCACUUUGAGAUAUCAGUGGCCUGGUACAACCAGAUGUGAGAGCUGCACUCCCUUCCCUGCCUAGUGUUUUCUCUUCUAGUGUGGCCCCACCCUAAGCUGCUAAGCAGUGAGAGAGGCAUCCGCCUACUUGGGGAUUCUGUCCAAGGUGGUGCAGAAAGAAGUCUGGUCACAACUGGCUACAGGGAACAAGCCGGGUACCCCAAGGACAUCUCACCAGUUCCAGUCAGAGAUCUGAUCCACGUGCACCUGCAUCAUGCCCAGACUCUCAAGCCUCACUAGAAGGGUCCCUGCCUAGUCCUGUUUACUAUCCCUUCUGUAGUGGCUGGUUUUAUGU